rnacentral:lncRNA from 13 species
CUUUGACAUAAGAAUUCAAAUAAAAAUUUGGCAUUAAAUAUGAGAUUUAAAAUACUUUGUAAAUUUCAGAGUGCUGCUUUAGUCUAGUCCAGUUGUUCUCAGCCACGGGCGAUUUUGUUUGCUGAGGACCAUAUCUGAAAACAUUCUGGAUUAUCACAACUUGAGGAGUGCGACUAGAAUCAAGUGAGUGGGAGCCAGGAUAUGCUGGAAUAGGAAGGCCCAACAAGAGGAAGAGAUGGAAACAAACAGUUGGAGAGCAGUUAGAACACAAGCAAAUUCAUUAAUUUUGUUUUCAUCUCAGGAGGGCAUGGUUUGUGGAACCCUAAGACAUCAAAGAUCACUAAUCACAGAUCGACAUACAGAUACGGCUUAAUUUACCUUCACCAUAUUCCACAAUUUUGCUAUGUUGGACUUUCACUGUCAUCUAGUUCAAAAUAUUGUUCAAUUUAUCUUGACAUAUCUUUGAUC